rnacentral:rRNA from 1 species
UACUAGAGUAGCACUCGCAUAUCAAUAAGCGGAGGAAAAGAAACUAACAAGGAUUCCCCUAGUAACGGCGAGUGAAGCGGGAAGAGCUCAAAUUUGAAAUCUUAAAGGGUUUCCCUUUACGAAUUGUAGUUUAAAGAAGUGUUUUCUGUUGAGGUUUUGGUAAAAGUUCUUUGGAAUAGGACAUCAUAGAGGGUGAGAAUCCCGUAUUUGACCUUUACUUUCAACUUUGUGAUACACUUUCAAAGAGUCGGAUUGUUUGGGAAUGCAGUCCAAAAUGGGUGGUAAAUUUCAUCUAAAGCUAAAUAUUGGCGAGAGACCGAUAGCGAACAAGUACCGUGAGGGAAAGAUGAAAAGAACUUUGAAAAGAGAGUUAAACAGUACGUGAAAUUGUCAAAAGGGAAGCGUUUGACACCAGUGUUGUUUUUCUGAAAAUCAAUUAAAGAACUGUUUAUGCUAAGUUGUUUAGACUUUAUCAGCUAACUGUUUAGUUUUGAGCUUUUCUUUAAUGCACUUUCAGUUAACAAGUCAACAUCAAUUUCUUUUGCUGUAAAAAAGCUUGAGGAAGGUGGCUUGAGAUUCGUCUUAAGUGUUUAUAGCCUCUUGCCUAUGCAGUCGGAGAGAUUGAGGUCUGCAGCGUAGAUCCUUCGGGGCUAAAUGCAUUUGUGCUAAGUUAUAGCAUUUUAUAGACAACUUGUUGACUAUGAUUUGUCUUGUAGCUUACUCGCUUAUGUUAUUUUACCUACGCUUAGGAUGUUGAGUAGCGACAUACGCAC